rnacentral:rRNA from 1 species
GGGUUGUGAGGUUAAGCGACUAAGCGUACACGGUGGAUGCCCUGGCAGUCAGAGGCGAUGAAGGACGUGCUAAUCUGCGAUAAGCGUCGGUAAGGUGAUAUGAACCGUUAUAACCGGCGAUUUCCGAAUGGGGAAACCCAGUGUGAUUCGUCACACUAUCAUUAACUGAAUCCAUAGGUUAAUGAGGCGAACCGGGGGAACUGAAACAUCUAAGUACCCCGAGGAAAAGAAAUCAACCGAGAUUCCCCCAGUAGCGGCGAGCGAACGGGGAGGAGCCCAGAGCCUGAAUCAGUGUGUGUGUUAGUGGAAGCGUCUGGAAAGGCGCGCGAUACAGGGUGACAGCCCCGUACACAAAAAUGCACAUACUGUGAGCUCGAUGAGUAGGGCGGGACACGUGGUAUCCUGUCUGAAUAUGGGGGGACCAUCCUCCAAGGCUAAAUACUCCUGACUGACCGAUAGUGAACCAGUACCGUGAGGGAAAGGCGAAAAGAACCCCGGCGAGGGGAGUGAAAAGAACCUGAAACCGUGUACGUACAAGCAGUGGGAGCACAGAGCAAUCUGUGUGACUGCGUACCUUUGUAUAAUGGGUCAGCGACUUAUAUUCUGUAGCAAGGUUAACCGAAUAGGGGAGCCGAAGGGAAACCGAGUCUUAACCGGGCGUUAAGUUGCAGGGUAUAGACCCGAAACCCGGUGAUUCAGCCAUGGGCAGGUUGAAGGUUGGGUAACACUAACUGGAGGACCGAACCGACUAAUGUUGAAAAAUUAGCGGAUGACUUGUGGCUGGGGGUGAAAGGCCAAUCAAACCGGGAGAUAGCUGGUUCUCCCCGAAAGCUAUUUAGGUAGCGCCUCGUGAAUUCAUCUCCGGGGGUAGAGCACUGUUUCGGCAAGGGGGUCAUCCCGACUUACCAACCCGAUGCAAACUGCGAAUACCGGAGAAUGUUAUCACGGGAGACACACGGCGGGUGCUAACGUCCGUCGUGAAGAGGGAAACAACCCAGACCGCCAGCUAAGGUCCCAAAGUCAUGGUUAAGUGGGAAACGAUGUGGGAAGGCCCAGACAGCCAGGAUGUUGGCUUAGAAGCAGCCAUCAUUUAAAGAAAGCGUAAUAGCUCACUGGUCGAGUCGGCCUGCGCGGAAGAUGUAACGGGGCUAAACCAUGCACCGAAGCUGCGGCAGCGACACUGUGUGUUGUUGGGUAGGGGAGCGUUCUGUAAGCCUGUGAAGGUGUGCUGUGAGGCAUGCUGGAGGUAUCAGAAGUGCGAAUGCUGACAUAAGUAACGAUAAAGCGGGUGAAAAGCCCGCUCGCCGGAAGACCAAGGGUUCCUGUCCAACGUUAAUCGGGGCAGGGUGAGUCGACCCCUAAGGCGAGGCCGAAAGGCGUAGUCGAUGGGAAACAGGUUAAUAUUCCUGUACUUGGUGUUACUGCGAAGGGGGGACGGAGAAGGCUAUGUUGGCCGGGCGACGGUUGUCCCGGUUUAAGCGUGUAGGCUGGUUUUCCAGGCAAAUCCGGAAAAUCAAGGCUGAGGCGUGAUGACGAGGCACUACGGUGCUGAAGCAACAAAUGCCCUGCUUCCGGUGAAAAGCCUCUAAGCAUCAGGUAACAUCAAAUCGUACCCCAAACCGACACAGGUGGUCAGGUAGAGAAUACCAAGGCGCUUGAGAGAACUCGGGUGAAGGAACUAGGCAAAAUGGUGCCGUAACUUCGGGAGAAGGCACGCUGAUAUGUAGGUGAAGUCCCUCGCGGAUGGAGCUGAAAUCAGUCGAAGAUACCAGCUGGCUGCAACUGUUUAUUAAAAACACAGCACUGUGCAAACACGAAAGUGGACGUAUACGGUGUGACGCCUGCCCGGUGCCGGAAGGUUAAUUGAUGGGGUCAGCGCAAGCGAAGCUCUUGAUCGAAGCCCCGGUAAACGGCGGCCGUAACUAUAACGGUCCUAAGGUAGCGAAAUUCCUUGUCGGGUAAGUUCCGACCUGCACGAAUGGCGUAAUGAUGGCCAGGCUGUCUCCACCCGAGACUCAGUGAAAUUGAACUCGCUGUGAAGAUGCAGUGUACCCGCGGCAAGACGGAAAGACCCCGUGAACCUUUACUAUAGCUUGACACUGAACAUUGAGCCUUGAUGUGUAGGAUAGGUGGGAGGCUUUGAAGUGUGGACGCCAGUCUGCAUGGAGCCGACCUUGAAAUACCACCCUUUAAUGUUUGAUGUUCUAACGUGGACCCGUGAUCCGGGUUGCGGACAGUGUCUGGUGGGUAGUUUGACUGGGGCGGUCUCCUCCUAAAGAGUAACGGAGGAGCACGAAGGUUGGCUAAUCCUGGUCGGACAUCAGGAGGUUAGUGCAAUGGCAUAAGCCAGCUUGACUGCGAGCGUGACGGCGCGAGCAGGUGCGAAAGCAGGUCAUAGUGAUCCGGUGGUUCUGAAUGGAAGGGCCAUCGCUCAACGGAUAAAAGGUACUCCGGGGAUAACAGGCUGAUACCGCCCAAGAGUUCAUAUCGACGGCGGUGUUUGGCACCUCGAUGUCGGCUCAUCACAUCCUGGGGCUGAAGUAGGUCCCAAGGGUAUGGCUGUUCGCCAUUUAAAGUGGUACGCGAGCUGGGUUUAGAACGUCGUGAGACAGUUCGGUCCCUAUCUGCCGUGGGCGCUGGAGAACUGAGGGGGGCUGCUCCUAGUACGAGAGGACCGGAGUGGACGCAUCACUGGUGUUCGGGUUGUCAUGCCAAUGGCACUGCCCGGUAGCUAAAUGCGGAAGAGAUAAGUGCUGAAAGCAUCUAAGCACGAAACUUGCCCCGAGAUGAGUUCUCCCUGACCCUUUAAGGGUCCUGAAGGAACGUUGAAGACGACGACGUUGAUAGGCCGGGUGUGUAAGCGCAGCGAUGCGUUGAGCUAACCGGUACUAAUGAACCGUGAGGCUUAACCUUACAACGCCGAAGGUGUUU